UACAGGGGGUGCAAACGUUGCUCGGAAUUAUUGGGCGUAAAGCGCGCGUAGGCGGCUACUUAAGUCGGAUGUGAAAGCCCUCGGCUCAACUGAGGAAGUGCACCCGAAACUGAGUGGCUUGAGUACUAAAGAGGGUCGCGGAAUUCCCGGUGUAGAGGUGAAAUUCGUAGAUAUCGGGAGGAACACCGGUGGCGAAGGCGGCGACCUGGGUAGAUACUGACGCUGAGGCGCGAAAGCGUGGGGAGCGAACAGG
rnacentral:rRNA from 1 species